GCUCUUUAUUCACUUUGGCAGCACAUAUACUAAAAUUGGAGCAAUACAGAGAAGAUUAGCAUGGCCACUGUGCAAGGAUGACCCGCUCUUUAUUCAAGCUUAUAAAACUCAC